rnacentral:rRNA from 1 species
AGCCCAGAGCCUGAAUCAGUGUGUGUGUUAGUGGAAGCGUCUGGAAAGGCGCGCGAUACAGGGUGACAGCCCCGUACACAAAAAUGCACAUGCUGUGAGCUCGAUGAGUAGGGCGGGACACGUGGUAUCCUGUCUGAAUAUGGGGGGACCAUCCUCCAAGGCUAAAUACUCCUGACUGACCGAUAGUGAACCAGUACCGUGAGGGAAAGGCGAAAAGAACCCCGGCGAGGGGAGUGAAAAAGAACCUGAAACCGUGUACGUACAAGCAGUGGGAGCACAGAGCAAUCUGUGUGACUGCGUACCUUUUGUAUAAUGGGUCAGCGACUUAUAUUCUGUAGCAAGGUUAACCGAAUAGGGGAGCCGAAGGGAAACCGAGUCUUAACUGGGCGUUAAGUUGCAGGGUAUAGACCCGAAACCCGGUGAUCUAGCCAUGGGCAGGUUGAAGGUUGGGUAACACUAACUGGAGGACCGAACCGACUAAUGUUGAAAAAUUAGCGGAUGACUUGUGGCUGGGGGUGAAAGGCCAAUCAAACCGGGAGAUAGCUGGUUCUCCCCGAAAGCUAUUUAGGUAGCGCCUCGUGAAUUCAUCUCCGGGGGUAGAGCACUGUUUCGGCAAGGGGGUCAUCCCGACUUACCAACCCGAUGCAAACUGCGAAUACCGGAGAAUGUUAUCACGGGAGACACACGGCGGGUGCUAACGUCCGUCGUGAAGAGGGAAACAACCCAGACCGCCAGCUAAGGUCCCAAAGUCAUGGUUAAGUGGGAAACGAUGUGGGAAGGCCCAGACAGCCAGGAUGUUGGCUUAGAAGCAGCCAUCAUUUAAAGAAAGCGUAAUAGCUCACUGGUCGAGUCGGCCUGCGCGGAAGAUGUAACGGGGCUAAACCAUGCACCGAAGCUGCGGCAGCGACGCUUAUGCGUUGUUGGGUAGGGGAGCGUUCUGUAAGCCUGCGAAGGUGUGCUGUGAGGCACGCUGGAGGUAUCAGAAGUGCGAAUGCUGACAUAAGUAACGAUAAAGCGGGUGAAAAGCCCGCUCGCCGGAAGACCAAGGGUUCCUGUCCAACGUUAAUCGGGGCAGGGUGAGUCGACCCCUAAGGCGAGGCCGAAAGGCGUAGUCGAUGGGAAACAGGUUAAUAUUCCUGUACUUGGUGUUACUGCGAAGGGGGGACGGAGAAGGCUAUGUUGGCCGGGCGACGGUUGUCCCGGUUUAAGCGUGUAGGCUGGUUUUCCAGGCAAAUCCGGAAAAUCAAGGCUGAGGCGUGAUGACGAGGCACUACGGUGCUGAAGCAACAAAUGCCCUGCUUCCAGGAAAAGCCUCUAAGCAUCAGGUAACAUCAAAUCGUACCCCAAACCGACACAGGUGGUCAGGUAGAGAAUACCAAGGCGCUUGAGAGAACUCGGGUGAAGGAACUAGGCAAAAUGGUGCCGUAACUUCGGGAGAAGGCACGCUGAUAUGUAGGUGAAGUCCCUCGCGGAUGGAGCUGAAAUCAGUCGAAGAUACCAGCUGGCUGCAACUGUUUAUUAAAAACACAGCACUGUGCAAACACGAAAGUGGACGUAUACGGUGUGACGCCUGCCCGGUGCCGGAAGGUUAAUUGAUGGGGUUAGCGCAAGCGAAGCUCUUGAUCGAAGCCCCGGUAAACGGCGGCCGUAACUAUAACGGUCCUAAGGUAGCGAAAUUCCUUGUCGGGUAAGUUCCGACCUGCACGAAUGGCGUAAUGAUGGCCAGGCUGUCUCCACCCGAGACUCAGUGAAAUUGAACUCGCUGUGAAGAUGCAGUGUACCCGCGGCAAGACGGAAAGACCCCGUGAACCUUUACUAUAGCUUGACACUGAACAUUGAGCCUUGAUGUGUAGGAUAGGUGGGAGGCUUUGAAGUGUGGACGCCAGUCUGCAUGGAGCCGACCUUGAAAUACCACCCUUUAAUGUUUGAUGUUCUAACGUUGACCCGUAAUCCGGGUUGCGGACAGUGUCUGGUGGGUAGUUUGACUGGGGCGGUCUCCUCCUAAAGAGUAACGGAGGAGCACGAAGGUUGGCUAAUCCUGGUCGGACAUCAGGAGGUUAGUGCAAUGGCAUAAGCCAGCUUGACUGCGAGCGUGACGGCGCGAGCAGGUGCGAAAGCAGGUCAUAGUGAUCCGGUGGUUCUGAAUGGAAGGGCCAUCGCUCAACGGAUAAAAGGUACUCCGGGGAUAACAGGCUGAUACCGCCCAAGAGUUCAUAUCGACGGCGGUGUUUGGCACCUCGAUGUCGGCUCAUCACAUCCUGGGGCUGAAGUAGGUCCCAAGGGUAUGGCUGUUCGCCAUUUAAAGUGGUACGCGAGCUGGGUUUAGAACGUCGUGAGACAGUUCGGUCCCUAUCUGCCGUGGGCGCUGGAGAACUGAGGGGGGCUGCUCCUAGUACGAGAGGACCGGAGUGGACGCAUCACUGGUGUUCGGGUUGUCAUGCCAAUGGCACUGCCCGGUAGCUAAAUGCGGAAGAGAUAAGUGCUGAAAGCAUCUAAGCACGAAACUUGCCCCGAGAUGAGUUCUCCCUGACUCCUUGAGAGUCCUGAAGGAACGUUGAAGACGACGACGUUGAUAGGCCGGGUGUGUAAGCGCAGCGAUGCGUUGAGCUAACCGGUACUAAUGAACCGUGAGGCUUAACCUU